GGAGGAUCAGAAANUAAAGAGGAUUACCUUAGUAAUGGNGAAUGNAGAGGGACAAGCUCAGCAUGGAAAUUGGGGUCUCUGGCCUUGAAUUGUGGGCUNUAAAUGUGCUGCCAAUGGAGGCGUGGAUGUAAGCCUCUUGGAAAAGAGCAUCAAUGAGGGUGAUAGUCCCGUUUGUCAUNUGCAGUCCCCUGUGCACGGUGUACCUGUUUAAAGUCACGUUCCUUGGGANUGGAGCGCAAAUUUGGUGGUAAAUUUCAUNUAAAGCUAAAUAUUAGCUUGAGACCGAUAGCAAACAAGUACCAUGAGGGAAAGGUAAAAAGGACUUUGAAAAGAGAGUUAAAAGUGCCUGAAAUGGCUGAAAGGGAAGUGAAUGGAANUAGCGNGUCUUGGUGAGAUUGUUGCACACGNUAUUGAAGGCUCAUUUNUUCANUGCAAUUGUUGUUGUGAGUUNUGAUAU
rnacentral:rRNA from 1 species